rnacentral:lncRNA from 1 species
AGAUCAUAUCUAAAUAUUUUAUAAUUUUAAAUUUUAUUUUUAUAAUUAAAAUAAUUUUAAUUAUAUAUAUUAGAUGAUCUACUUUUCAUACAACUCAUAUUUUAUAUCACAUACAAUAAAUCCUAGAGUUUCAACAUCUAGGGUUUUGCAGAAAAAUAAAUUUUCUCCUUUUGCUUUCUUCUUCAUAGGACCUCACAGUGGCACCCCUAU